rnacentral:rRNA from 1 species
UACGUAGGGGGCAAGCGUUGUCCGGAAUCAUUGGGCGUAAAGCGCGUGUAGGCGGCCCGAUAAGUCCGCUGUGAAAGUCCAGGCUCAACCCUGGGAUGCCGGUGGAUACUGUCGGGCUCGAGUCCGGAAGAGGAGUGUGGGAAUUCCUGGUGUAGCGGUGAAUGCGCAGAUAUCAGGAGGAACACCAAUUGCGAAGGCAGCUCGCUGGGACGUUACUGACGCUGAGACGCGAAAGCGUGGGGAGCAAACAGG